rnacentral:rRNA from 1 species
AGAGUUUGAUUAUGGCUCAGGAUGAACGCUAGCUACAGGCUUAACACAUGCAAGUCGAGGGGCAUCAGGGUGUAGCAAUACAUCGCUGGCGACCGGCGCACGGGUGAGUAACACGUAUCCAACCUACCGAACAUUCCGGGAUAGCCUUUCGAAAGAAAGAUUAAUACUGGAUGGCAUAACGAUGAGGCAUCUUAUCGUUAUUAAAGAAUUUCGAUGUUCGAUGGGGAUGCGUUCCAUUAGUUUGUUGGCGGGGUAACGGCCCACCAAGACUUCGAUGGAUAGGGGUUCUGAGAGGAAGGUCCCCCACAUUGGAACUGAGACACGGUCCAA